UCGGACCUAGCGGCGGACGGGUGAGUAAUGCGUAGGAAGCUACCCGAUAGAGGGGGAUACCAGUUGGAAACGACUGUUAAUACCGCAUAAUGUCUACGGACCAAAGUGUGGGACCUUCGGGCCACAUGCUAUCGGAUGCGCCUACGUGGGAUUAGCUAGUUGGUGAGGUAAUGGCUCACCAAGGCGACGAUCUCUAGCUGGUUUGAGAGGAUGAUCAGCCACACUGGAACUGAGACACGGUCCAGACUCCUACGGGAGGCAGCAGUGGGGAAUAUUGGACAAUGGGCGCAAGCCUGAUCCAGCCAUGCCGCGUGUGUGAAGAAGGCCUUAGGGUUGUAAAGCACUUUCAGCGAGGAGGAAGGGGUUGUAGUUAAUAGCUGCAAUCUUUGACGUUACUCGCAGAAGAAGCACCGGCUAACUCUGUGCCAGCAGCCGCGGUAAUACAGAGGGUGCAAGCGUUAAUCGGAAUUACUGGGCGUAAAGCGCACGCAGGCGGUUGGUUAAGUCAGAUGUGAAAGCCCCGGGCUCAACCUGGGAAUUGCAUUUGAAACUGGCCAACUAGAGUAUGUGAGAGGGGGGUAGAAUUCCAAGUGUAGCGGUGAAAUGCGUAGAGAUUUGGAGGAAUACCAGUGGCGAAGGCGGCCCCCUGGCACAAUACUGACGCUCAGGUGCGAAAGCGUGGGGAGCAAACAGGAUUAGAUACCCUGGUAGUCCACGCCGUAAACGAUGUCUACUAGCUGUUCGUGGUCUUGUACUGUGAGUAGCGCAGCUAACGCACUAAGUAGACCGCCUGGGGAGUACGGUCGCAAGAUUAAAACUCAAAUGAAUUGACGGGGGCCCGCACAAGCGGUGGAGCAUGUGGUUUAAUUCGACGCAACGCGAAGAACCUUACCUACUCUUGACAUCUAGCG
rnacentral:rRNA from 1 species